UAGAAGAAAAUCCGGUUAUUUGGGUACCCAGCAGCAGGAUUUCCGAACCGACACGACAUCAUAACCUUCAAGAAAAGAGCAUAUUCCUUUUUAAAAGGCCGGCAGCACACCUGCAAUGCCGUUGGUGUUGCGGGUGAUCAUGGGCGGCGGUAGUCACUUACCAUCAGGGGCGCGGUUGCUACGCGACGCUACGUCACACUUCUAAUAAUACAGAUGUCGCUGGCUACUCGUGUAAUGGCGGAAAUUAAUCAUAGUGUGUUCCAAUAAAUUUUAACAAUUAUAUUCAAAUCACAUAUAUAUUUUUUUUCACUUUAUUCGGAAUAAUAAACAAUUGUACAGUAUGUUACUUAAAAAUUUACUUAAACAUAUGAAUAUUUGUACAAUAAAUACCAUUAUCCUUUAAUUACUAAUAAUAAAAAUAUGGAUGUAUA